GAGUUUGAUCAUGGCUCAGGAUGAACGCUAGCGGCAGGCCUAAUACAUGCAAGUCGAACGAGAUUAGUAGCAAUACUAUGAAAGUGGCGCACGGGUGCGUAACACGUAUGCAAUCUACCUUUAAUUGGAGAAUAGCCUCGAGAAAUCGGGAUUAAUACUCCAUAACAUUAUGAAGUGGCAUCACUUUAUAAUUAAACCUCCGGGGAUUAAAGAUGAGCAUGCGCAACACUAGCUAGUUGGUAAGGUAACGGCUUACCAAGGCUACGAUGUUUAGGGGGUCUGAGAGGAUGAUCCCCCACACUGGUACUGAGACACGGACCAGACUCCUACGGGAGGCAGCAGUAGGGAAUAUUGGGCAAUGGAGGAAACUCUGACCCAGCCAUGCCGCGUGCAGGAUGAAUGCCCUCUGGGUUGUAAACUGCUUUUAUACGGGAAGAAAAAUGCUACGUGUAGCACAUUGACGGUACCGUAAGAAUAAGGAUCGGCUAACUCCGUGCCAGCCGCCGCGGGUAA
rnacentral:rRNA from 1 species